UAACUCUGGUUUCUCUUCAGGUCUUAUAAAUUUUUUGCCUUUUAGUAAAGAUUUCUGUGGAGAGGAACAUUGAUGAUUUACAGUGCAACCUUGGUUUUCGUUGGUAAUCAGUCCGAAA